rnacentral:tRNA from 1 species
UAGCUCAGCUGGAUAGAGUACCUGGCUACGAACCAGGCGGUCAGAGGUUCGAAUCCU